UCCGGUUUGUCACCGGCAGUCCCAUUAGAGUGCUCAACUGAAUGUAGCAACUAAUGGCAAGGGUUGCGCUCGUUGCGGGACUUAACCCAACAUUUCACAACACGAGCUGACGACAGCCAUGCACCACCUGUGCACCACCCUCGAAGGCGACGCCUUUUGGAGCGCUUGCAGGUGCAUGUCAAGCCCUGGUAAGGUUCUUCGCGUUGCAUCGAAUUAAGCCAUAUGCUCCACCGCUUGUGCGGGCCCCCGCCAAUUCCUUUGAGUUUCAACCUUGCGGCCGUAGUCCCCAGGCGGUUCACUUAAUGCGUUAGCUGCGGCACCGAAGGUUACCCCCCGACACCUAGUGAACAUCGUUUAUGGCCAAGACUAC
rnacentral:misc_RNA from 1 species